rnacentral:lncRNA from 1 species
AGUAAUUCUAAAAUUAAGGGAAAAUAUAUAUGUCCAAAAAGCAGAGUGUGAACUUGUUUUGUGGACAAAAAUUUAGAAGCAAGUGUGAACUUGUUUUGUGGAUGGAGGGAGUAUAAGAUAGGUUUUAACAAAUAAAUACAAAAGUGAGACUUGGUGCUAUGGUAAAAGCGUCUAUAUUUUCUUAUCUCUAAGGUCUAUGGU